CGGAACGUCAAACCCACAUUCGGAGUCCGGACCUUCUCUCUCGUGCUCUCAGAGUCUCACCCACACGGAAACCCUAGCCUCCACUUGCCGAUAGUUCCGCUCCGUCGUCUUCAUUCUUGUGCGCCGAAUCGCCGAUCGAAUUCUUACCCAAGAAAGGAGGUACACCUAGGAAGAAUGAGAUCAUGUUUGUUGCUCCUACUGGAGAGGAGAUCAACAACAAAAAGCAACUGGAGCAGUACCUAAAAUCACACCCUGGAGCAGUCCAAUUGAUUGGCUUGAUAACCUAUUAUGUUGGAUUUUGUAUUUUGUAAUGUAAUCUAAUAUCUAGUGGAUUGUAUGCAUUUUAGUUUUUUAUUUUUAUAUAUUUUAUUAUUCUGGACAA